AUGAAUCUUGAGGAAGAUCUUGGUGAAGAAAAAGGUGUUCCUAAUGGCAACGGUGGUAUAAUCAGCAAUGAGGAAAAAGGAACUGCGAUUGGAUUUGUACUAGUACCAAUUGCUUCCUCUCGCUUGAUGCUGAAGAAAAGGAUGAUCAUAUUAAGAUCCCCAAGAACAACAGGAGUAGGAGGAGAUAGGGAGGAUGAGGAAGGAGACAAGCAGGAGGAAGAGAGAUUCUUGGGGAUUUGCUCGCCUUAUGGACUCGCUAUAAACAUGUGCUUGUUGUGCUACUCAUGCUUUUUAUCUUACCAUCAUCUCCAAUAG
rnacentral:rRNA from 1 species